rnacentral:piRNA from 1 species
UGAUGCCUAAGUGGAUCAGGUUUAAAUGC